GACGAACGCUGGCGGCGUGCUUAACACAUGCAAGUCGAACGGAAAGGCUCCAGCUUGCUGGUGUACUCGAGUGGCGAACGGGUGAGUAACACGUGGGUAAUCUGCCCUGCACUCUGGGAUAAGCCUGGGAAACUGGGUCUAAUACUGGAUAUGACCUUUCUCCUUAUGGGGUUUGGUGGAAAGUUUUUCGGUGUAGGAUGAGCCCGCGGCCUAGCCGCUUGUUGGUGGGGUGAUGGCCUACCAAGGCGACGACGGGGAGCCGGCCUGGGAGGGUGAUCGGCCACAUUGGGACUGGGAUACGGCCCGGAGGCCUACGGGAGGAAGCAGUGGGGGAUAUUGCACACUGGGCGGAAGCAGGAUGCAGCGACGCCGCGUGAGGGAUGACGGUCGUCGGGUUGUAACCCUCUUCCAGCAGGGACGAAGCGUAAGUGACGGUACCUGCAGAAGAAGCACCGGCUAACUAUGUG
rnacentral:rRNA from 1 species